rnacentral:rRNA from 1 species
CUACUCUUGACAUCCACAGAAUUCGGCAGAGAUGCCUUAGUGCCUUCGGGAACUGUGAGACAGGUGCUGCAUGGCUGUCGUCAGCUCGUGUUGUGAAAUGUUGGGUUAAGUCCCGCAACGAGCGCAACCCUUGUCCUUAGUUACCAGCACGUUAUGGUGGGCACUCUAAGGAGACUGCCGGUGACAAACCGGAGGAAGGUGGGGAUGACGUCAAGUCAUCAUGGCCCUUACGGCCUGGGCUACACACGUGCUACAAUGGUCGGUACAGAGGGUUGCCAAGCCGCGAGGUGGAGCUAAUCCCAGAAAACCGAUCGUAGUCCGGAUCGCAGUCUGCAACUCGACUGCGUGAAGUCGGAAUCGCUAGUAAUCGCGAAUCAGAAUGUCGCGGUGAAUACGUUCCC